CCUACGGGUGGCAGCAGUGGGGAAUAUUGGGCAAUGGGCGCAAGCCUGACCCAGCAACGCCGCGUGAAGGAAGAAGGCUUUCGGGUUGUAAACUUCUUUUAUCAGGGACGAAGCAAGUGACGGUACCUCAUGAAUAAGCCACGGCUAACUACGUGCCAGCCGCCGCGUGAAUACGUAGGUGGCAAGCGUUAUGCGGAUUUACUGGGUGUAAAGGGCGUGUAGGCGGGAGUGCAAGUCAGAUGUGAAAACUAUGGGCUCAACCCAUAGACUGCAUUUGAAACUGUACUUCUUGAGUGCUGGAGAGGCAAUCGGAAUUCCGUGUGUAGCGGUGAAAUGCGUAGAUAUAAGGAGGAACACCAGUGGCGAAGGCGGAUUGCUGGACAGUAACUGACGCUGAGGCGCGAAAGCGUGGGGAGCAAACAGGAUUAGAUACCCUAGUAGUC
rnacentral:rRNA from 1 species